rnacentral:rRNA from 1 species
AUGAACGCUAGCGGGAGGCCUAAUACAUGCAAGUCGAGCGGUAGAGUGACUUCGGUUGCUUGAGAGCGGCGAACGGGUGAGUAACGCGUACACAAUCUACCUUUAAGAGGGGAAUAGCCCUGGGAAACUGGGAUUAAUGCCCCAUGGCAUCACGAAGUGGCAUCGCUUUGUGAUUAAAGCUGAGGUGCUUAGAGAUGAGUGUGCGUCUGAUUAGCUAGUUGGUGCGGUAACGGCGCACCAAGGCGACGAUCAGUAGGGGGCGUGAGAGCGUGGACCCCCACACGGGUACUGAGACACGGACCCGACUCCUACGGGAGGCAGCAGUAAGGAAUAUUGGUCAAUGGAGGAAACUCUGAACCAGCCAUCCCGCGUGCAGGAAGAAUGCCCUAUGGGUUGUAAACUGCUUUUAUCUGGGAAGAAAAGUCGGCAUUUAUGCUGAUCUGACGGUACCAGAGGAAUAAGCACCGGCUAACUCCGUG